GGCCAUUUGCAAUAGCGCAUCAAUUUCAGACCCACGAUCUAAUAAGUUAAUAAUUAAGAAAACCCCUUUAUAAAGCACGUACCUUCUCCUUGGUUCUUGUUGAACGAAUUAUUCCAAGUUGUCAAACGCAAAACAUUUUCCCAAGCACGCCGGCAAAAAGGAAGAGACAGAUGGUGAUGGCAAGUCGUCGAUGCCAGUAUCGAUAAGCUCGCUUCAGGAAAUAUCGAAGUCUGCAUUAUUAAAGAAUAAUGGGAACAGUGGUCCCAUUAGAUAUUGGGUACAGCCCACUAAAACGGCUUCAAUAAAAGUGGGACCAGUAUUUGAUUGGAAGCUUAAGUGAAUAGUUCAAAAAGGGCCUUUUUAAAAAGAAUGUACGAAUAUAUUGUUGAAUCAGAAUGAACUAGCACCCUUUAAUUCAACAUACUACAAAUUUUACCAAAUACCACUGUCCAAAUAUUCAUACAACAAAAGCUCCAAUCGAAACCCCAAAUCAACCGAACAUGGAAUCCAUGAUAGUGUUCUCCCGCUCCCGUCGGUUAGCUUCAU